UAUGAUGACAGGGUUCCUGACUAGAGCUAGAGGAAACAGCCCUGUUCUUAUUUUCCAAUAGCAGUGCUAGUAUCAGAAUACAGUGUGCUGAAAAUAACUUAUGCAUCUGGCAUGAAAUAUGUGGGAGAAGGGGGGACCCUGACCUUGAAUUGCACCAUCAGGCAUCCACAGGAUCAGUCUUCACAACUGGAGGCCCACUGGUAUAAAAAAAGCAAGGAACCAAAACAAUGAGAUGGGAUUUGGACAGGAGUUGGAAUGCCUGCAACUUUUGCACUGCCAAGACCUCAGCACCAGCGUCGUGUCAUUUCUGCUCCUCAAAAUCCAGAGCAUCAACCAAUCCCACAGCGGAUGAUACUAAUGCAGUGCCAAAAUGAUGAAUACUGCCCUAGCAGCUGUGGGCCACUUUAUUAGAGAGAAUGUAACAGCUUUGUAUAUAUAAGCUUUGUAUAUAUAAGAGCUUUCUUGAAGAGAGAUUUGAGAAAGUGCAUAAUUGUCUCUGAAGUGAAAUUUCUAUGUGAAAAAGACUGUGUUCAUGAAGGUGUAUCACCUUCUCCUAGGGUGUGAAACUAAAAAUGAUUGUUGGCACACUGUGACGGAGGAAUAAAUUUCAUAUUCCGCU